rnacentral:rRNA from 1 species
CCUACGGGUGGCUGCAGUGGGGAAUAUUGGGCAAUGGGCGCAAGCCUGACCCAGCAACGCCGCGUGAAGGAAGAAGGCUUUCGGGUUGUAAACUUCUUUUGUCAGGGACGAAGCAAGUGACGGCACCUGACGAAUAAGCCACGGGUAACUACGUGCAAGCAGCCGCGGUAAUACGUAGGUGGCACGCGUUAUCCGGAUUUACUGGUUGUAAAGGCCGUGUAGGCGGGGCUGCAAGUCAGAUGUGAAAACCACGGGCUCAACCUGUGUCCUGCAUUUGAAACUGGCAAACUGGAGUGUGUGAGAGGAUGGUGGAAUUGCAGGUGUAGGAGUGAAAUCCGUAGAUAUCUGGAGGAACAUCAGUGGCGAAGGCGACUAUCUGGCACAUAACUGACGCUGAGGAGCGAAAGCGUGGGUAGCAAACAGGAUUAGAUACCCUAGUAGUC